AUUGAACGCUGGCGGAAUGCUUUACACAUGCAAGUCGAACGAUGAACCUUAGCUUGCUAAGGGGAUUAGUGGCGAACGGGUGAGUAAUGUAUCGGAACGUAUCCAAUAAUGGGGGAUAGCUAGUCGAAAGAUUAGCUAAUACCGCAUACGUCCUACGGGAGAAAGCUAGGGACCUUCGGGCCUGGCGUUAAUGGAGCGGCCGAUAUCUGAUUAGCUAGUUGGUGGGGUAAAGGCUCACCAAGGCGACGAUCAGUAGCUGGUCUGAGAGGACGACCAGUCACACUGGAACUGAGACACGGUCCAGACUCCUACGGGAGGCAGCAGUGGGGAAUUUUGGACAAUGGGCGAAAGCCUGAUCCAGCCAUUCCGCGUGAGUGAAGAAGGCCUUCGGGUUGUAAAGCUCUUUCGCAAGGGAAGAAAACUUAAGCUCUAACAUAGCUUGAGGUUGACGGUACCUUGAUAAGAAGCACCGGCUAACUACGUGCCAGCAGCCGCGGUAA
rnacentral:rRNA from 1 species